rnacentral:rRNA from 1 species
CAGUAGCCGCGGUAAUACGUAGGGUGCAAGCGUUAAUCGGAAUUACUGGGCGUAAAGCGUGCGCAGGCGGUUUGUUAAGACAGAUGUGAAAUCCCCGGGCUCAACCUGGGAACUGCAUUUGUGGCUGGCAAGCUAGAGUCUGGCAGAGGGGGGUGGAAUUCCGCGUGUAGCAGUGAAAUGCGUAGAUAUGCGGAGGAACACCGAUGGCGAAGGCAGCCCCCUGGGCCAACACUGACGCUCAUGCACGAAAGCGUGGGGAGCAAACAGGAUUAGAUACCCCCGUAGUCCCUGUCUCUUAUAC